rnacentral:rRNA from 1 species
GAUGAACGCUAGCGGCAGGCCUAACACAUGCAAGUCGAGGGAGAAGCCCUUUCGGGGGCAGAAACCGGCGCACGGGUGCGUAACGCGUAUGCAACCUACCUUUCACAGGGGGAUAGCCCGAAGAAAUUUGGAUUAAUACCUCAUAAUAUUAUUGGAUGGCAUCAUUUGAUAAUUAAAACUGCGGUGGUGAAAGAUGGGCAUGCGUCCUAUUAGCUAGUUGGAGUGGUAACGGCACCCCAAGGCUACGAUAGGUAGGGGUCCUGAGAGGGAGAUCCCCCACACUGGUACUGAGACAGGGACCAGACUCCUACGGGAGGCAGCAGUGAGGAAUAUUGAUCAAUGGUCGGAAGACUGAACCAGCCAUGCCGCGUGCAGGAAGAAUGCCUUAUGGGUUGUAAACUGCUUUUAUAUGGGAAGAAUAAGGUGUACGUGUACAUUGAUGACGGUACCAUAUGAAUAAGCAUCGGCUAACUCCGUG